AACUCAUUGUGAAAACCUUCGGUUUGAUGAACGUAAGUCCCUGGGAGCUUUUAGCUUCCAUAAAGUACUGAGAAAAUACAUAUUUAACUUUCAAAAUAUCUUAAAAAAACCUUAAUAAAAACUUUACACCCGGACCGAAAAACAAUUUACAAAAUAGUUUUAGCCUCCGGUUUAAAGCCGAUAUUGACUUUACAGCGUAAACAUAUAUUGGGUUUCCAUUAUAGUAUUUCGCAAUAUUGCAUCAGCCGGUUACGACUAGUUUUAUCAAUACACAUAACAUUCUUUACUGUUUUAAGUAUUAUAACGAAAAAAGUGGAAUUUAAGCAACUGAAAUGUAUUCAAGAAUUCUACAAAGAUAUUAUUAGCCAGACGAAUUACAACGUGAAAAAUCCAAGACUUUAUAAAGACAACGAACGUUUAACACAAAAUAUAUCAUCGGAAGACUUCAAGAAAAGAAUGUUAACCAUAACAUGGUUGAAUAUCAUAAUACUUUCAUGUUGUUAGAAUCACUCAACCGUUUGAGUAUGCCAUACUCAUACGCAUGGUUGAAUAUCAUAAUACUUUCAUGUUGUUAGAAUCACUCAACCAUAGGAUUAUACCAUAAUCAUACGCAUGGCUUAAUGUUAUGAUAUUUUGAUGUUGUUGAAAUCACUCAACCGUUUGAGUAUGCCAUAUGGGCAUAUGCAUGAUUGAAUAUACGCUUUUGGGAGUAGUAUGGAAUAUAACGUUUAUGGGUGCAUUUUUGAUAGUAGUAAAGAAUAUUAUGUUUUUGAUACAUUUUAACCCUUUUUAUUAAAAUAAUUUAUAAUUGUUUGUUCAUUAUGUUUUACAUUGUUUACUCUCAGUGUUUUAUACAAUAAAUCAUAAAUGUUUAUACCAUUUUGUAACAUUUUAAUGAAAAAUAAACAAUAAUAACCACAAAA